rnacentral:rRNA from 1 species
UACGUAGGAGACGAGCGUUGUCCGGAGUUACUGGGCGUAAAGGGUGCGCAGGUGGCGGCGCGCGUGGGGGGUGAAAUCGCCCGGCUUAACUGGGCGGGGGCCUUCCAGACGGCGUGGCUUGAGCAGCGGAGGGGGACGUGGAAUUCCGGGUGGAGCGGUGAAAUGCGUAGAGAUCCGGAGGAACACCGACGGCGUAGGCAGCGCCCUGGCUGUGAAUAAAGCUGACACUGAGGCACGAAAGCUGGGGGAGCAAACAGG